rnacentral:tRNA from 1 species
GCCUGGCUGGCUCAGUCAGUGGAGCAUGUGACUCUUGAUCUCAGGGUUGUAGGUUCAAGCCCCACUUUGGGUG